rnacentral:rRNA from 1 species
AAAUUGAAGAGUUUGAUCAUGGCUCAGAUUGAACGCUGGCGGCAGGCCUAACACAUGCAAGUCGAACGGUAACAGAAAGCAGCUUGCUGCUUUGCUGACGAGUGGCGGACGGGUGAGUAAUGUCUGGGAAACUGCCUGAUGGAGGGGGAUAACUACUGGAAACGGUAGCUAAUACCGCAUAACGUCGCAAGACCAAAGAGGGGGACCUUCGGGCCUCUUGCCAUCGGAUGUGCCCAGAUGGGAUUAGCUAGUAGGUGGGGUAACGGCUCACCUAGGCGACGAUCCCUAGCUGGUCUGAGAGGAUGACCAGCCACACUGGAACUGAGACACGGUCCAGACUCCUACGGGAGGCAGCAGUGGGGAAUAUUGCACAAUGGGCGCAAGCCUGAUGCAGCCAUGCCGCGUGUAUGAAGAAGGCCUUCGGGUUGUAAAGUACUUUCAGCGGGGAGGAAGGGAGUAAAGUUAAUACCUUUGCUCAUUGACGUUACCCGCAGAAGAAGCACCGGCUAACUCCGUGCCAGCAGCCGCGGUAAUACGGAGGGUGCAAGCGUUAAUCGGAAUUACUGGGCGUAAAGCGCACGCAGGCGGUUUGUUAAGUCAGAUGUGAAAUCCCCGGGCUCAACCUGGGAACUGCAUCUGAUACUGGCAAGCUUGAGUCUCGUAGAGGGGGGUAGAAUUCCAGGUGUAGCGGUGAAAUGCGUAGAGAUCUGGAGGAAUACCGGUGGCGAAGGCGGCCCCCUGGACGAAGACUGACGCUCAGGUGCGAAAGCGUGGGGAGCAAACAGGAUUAGAUACCCUGGUAGUCCACGCCGUAAACGAUGUCGACUUGGAGGUUGUGCCCUUGAGGCGUGGCUUCCGGAGCUAACGCGUUAAGUCGACCGCCUGGGGAGUACGGCCGCAAGGUUAAAACUCAAAUGAAUUGACGGGGGCCCGCACAAGCGGUGGAGCAUGUGGUUUAAUUCGAUGCAACGCGAAGAACCUUACCUGGUCUUGACAUCCACGGAAGUUUUCAGAGAUGAGAAUGUGCCUUCGGGAACCGUGAGACAGGUGCUGCAUGGCUGUCGUCAGCUCGUGUUGUGAAAUGUUGGGUUAAGUCCCGCAACGAGCGCAACCCUUAUCCUUUGUUGCCAGCGGUCCGGCCGGGAACUCAAAGGAGACUGCCAGUGAUAAACUGGAGGAAGGUGGGGAUGACGUCAAGUCAUCAUGGCCCUUACGACCAGGGCUACACACGUGCUACAAUGGCGCAUACAAAGAGAAGCGACCUCGCGAGAGCAAGCGGACCUCAUAAAGUGCGUCGUAGUCCGGAUUGGAGUCUGCAACUCGACUCCAUGAAGUCGGAAUCGCUAGUAAUCGUGGAUCAGAAUGCCACGGUGAAUACGUUCCCGGGCCUUGUACACACCGCCCGUCACACCAUGGGAGUGGGUUGCAAAAGAAGUAGGUAGCUUAACCUUCGGGAGGGCGCCUACCACUUUGUGAUUCAUGACUGGGGUGAAGUCGUAACAAGGUAACCGUAGGGGAACCUGCGGUUGGAUCACCUCCUUACCUUAAAGAAGC